rnacentral:rRNA from 1 species
GACGGGAGGGGCGAGCGUUACCCGGAUUUACUGGGUGUAAAGGGUCCGUAGGCGGCUAGAAAAGUCGGAUUUUAAAUGCUCUGGCUCAACCAGAGAUAUGGGUUCGAUACUUUCUGGCUACGAGUCCGGAGGAGGAAAACGGAACUGCCGGUGUAGCGGUGAAAUGUGUAGAUAUCGGCAGGAACACCAGUGGCGAAGGCGGUUUUCUAUUCCGGUACUGACGCUGAGGGACGAAAGCGUGGGGAGCGAUCGGGAUUAGAUACCCCGGUAGUCCACGCCGUAAACGAUGGGUGUUAGGUGCCGGUCCGGUAACUCGGAUUGGUGCCGAAGCUAACGCGAUAAACACCCCACCUGGGGACUACGGCCGCAAGGUUGAAACCCAAAGGAAUUGACGGGGGCCCGCACAACCGGUGGAGUAUGUGGUUUAAUUCGAUGAUACGCGAGGAACCUCACCUGGGCUUGACAUUCUGGUCGUAGAAGUCCGAAAGGGCGACGACCCGCCGUAAGGCGGGAGCCAGAACAGGUGUUGCAUGGCUGUCGUCAGCUCGUGCCGUGAGGUGUUGGGUUAAGUCCCGGAACGAGCGCAACCCUUGCCCGUAGUUACUCGCCUUAAAGGCAGCACUCUACGGGGACUGCCGUGGUUAACACGGAGGAAGGCGGGGAUGACGUCAAGUCAGCACGACCCUUAUGUCCAGGGCUACACACGUACUACAAUGGUCGGUACAAAGGGACGCCAAGCCGCGAGGUGGAGCAAAUCCCAGAAAACCGGCCCCAGUUCGGAUUGCAGGCUGCAACCCGCCUGCAUGAAGCUGGAAUCGGUAGUAAUCGCGGAUCAGCCAAGCCGCGGUGAAUACGUUCUCGGGCCU